GGAGAGGGCUGGGUCCUUAGGGUCUCACAGGGUCAAAAUGGAGGCAGAUGCUGGAUGGCGCGCUUAUCUGGACGUCCUGGAGAAGAAGAAUCAGCUUUCGACCUCCUUCAGGCUGUUGACAGAAUUCAGAUCCUGUGGCUGGUGAGGACGGAGGACCCCCUUCCUUGCUGGCUGGCAGGAUGCAGGUUCCCAGGUACUGCUACAAGGCUGAUGGAGAAAGGGACGGCAACAGGAGCGUCAGACAAAGAAGCUCAUUCUAUAGACCCAGCAGGGCCAGCACUGACCAACAGAUGGCAAGUGGUUGACACCAGGAAGGCUUUGUCAGAUAGAAUCUUACCUCCCUGGCCCCCAGAAAUCCG
rnacentral:lncRNA from 1 species